CUAUGCGCCUUGCCAGCCCGCUCAGGUGUGCCAGCCGCCGCGGUAAUACGUAGGGGCAAGCGUUAUCCGGAUUUACUGGGUGUAAAGGGCGUGUAGCCGGGCUGACAAGUCAGAUGUGAAAUCCGGGGGCUCAACCCCCGAACUGCAUUUGAAACUGUUGGUCUUGAGUAUCGGAGAGGCAGGCGGAAUUCCUAGUGUAGCGGUGAAAUGCGUAGAUAUUAGGAGGAACACCAGUGGCGAAGGCGGCCUGCUGGACGACAACUGACGGUGAGGCGCGAAAGCGUGGGGAGCAAACAGG
rnacentral:rRNA from 1 species